AACCGGGGUGUUCGCUUUUCUUGUCAAGCAAUGCGGACUGAGAUAAUACCCGUAGACCUGAUCCGGAUAAUACCGGCGGAGGAAGCAAUG
rnacentral:ncRNA from 1 species